AUACCUCAAGUGUCGAAUUUAUUUUCGUGCGCUUGGAUUUGGACUCUGCCGCUUGCUCUCCCGAGCGGCUGGUCUUAAAUGCAUUAGCUGAUCCAUGCUUGUGUGCUUGGUUCUACUCGGCGUGAUAAUUAUCUGACCGCUGAGGACAUUUGCCUUGUGCGAAUGGCCAGGUGUGCCUUGGGUUGCUUCUAACCCCGGUCUUGUCACCGGAACGACUUUUUCAA
rnacentral:misc_RNA from 1 species